CGGCGGCGCUUGUUGUUCAGCGGCGGCGGCCGAGCUCGGCUGCUGCUUCGGGCCUCGCCGCCGCCGGUCCGCACGCGGACAUGGAGCUGGAGGUGCCGGACGAGGCGGAGAGUGCCGAGGCGGGGGCCGUGCCCGCGGAGGCGGCCUGGUCGUCGGACAGCGGGGCGACGUCAGGCUCGGCGCACAAGAAGUCGGGCUCGUCCGAGGCCCCAUCAGUGACAGGACAGCCCGGCCCUGGCCACGGGAAGAAGCUGGGUCAUCGAGGCGUAGACGCAUCUGGAGAGACCACCUACAAGAAGACCACCUCCUCCACCCUGAAGGGGGCCAUCCAGCUGGGCAUCGGCUACACCGUGGGCAACCUGAGCUCCAAGCCCGAGCGGGAUGUGCUCAUGCAGGACUUCUACGUGGUGGAGAGCAUCUUCUUCCCCAGUGAAGGCAGCAACCUCACCCCCGCCCACCACUUCCAGGACUUCCGGUUCAAGACCUACGCGCCCGUGGCCUUCCGCUACUUCCGGGAGCUCUUUGGGAUCCGGCCUGACGACUACUUGUACUCCCUGUGCAACGAGCCACUCAUUGAGCUGUCCAACCCGGGCGCCAGCGGCUCCCUGUUCUACGUCACCAGUGACGACGAGUUCAUCAUCAAGACUGUCAUGCACAAGGAGGCCGAGUUCCUGCAGAAGCUGCUGCCCGGCUACUACAUGAACCUGAACCAGAACCCGCGGACGCUGCUGCCCAAGUUCUACGGGCUGUACUGCGUGCAGUCGGGGGGCAAGAACAUCCGCGUGGUGGUCAUGAACAACGUGCUGCCGCGCGUGGUCAAGAUGCACCUCAAGUUCGACCUCAAGGGCUCCACAUACAAGCGGCGGGCCAGCAGGAAGGAGAAGGAGAAGAGCGCGCCCACCUACAAGGACCUGGACUUCAUGCAGGACAUGCCCGAGGGGCUGCUGCUGGACACUGACACCUUCAGCGCCCUGGUCAAGACGCUGCAGCGGGACUGCUUGGUGCUGGAGAGCUUCAAGAUCAUGGAUUACAGCCUGCUGCUCGGCGUGCACAACAUCGACCAGCAGGAGCGGGAGCGGCAGGCCGAGGGCGCCCAGGGCAGCACGGACGAGAAGCGGCCCGUGGGCCAGAAGGCGCUGUACUCCACAGCCAUGGAGUCCAUCCAGGGCGGGGCUGCCCGCGGCGAGGCCAUCGAGACCGAUGACACGAUGGGCGGCAUCCCUGCCGUGAAUGGCCGCGGGGAGCGGCUGCUGCUGCACGUGGGCAUCAUCGACAUCCUGCAGUCCUACAGGUUCAUCAAGAAGCUGGAGCACACCUGGAAGGCCCUGGUUCACGAUGGGGACACGGUGUCCGUCCACCGCCCCAGCUUCUACGCAGAGCGCUUCUUCAAGUUCAUGAGCAACACCGUCUUUCGGAAGAACUCCUCCCUCAAGUCCUCACCUUCCAAGAAGGGCCGAGGUGCCUUGCUGGCCGUGAAGCCCCUGGGGCCCAGUGCCGCCUUCUCCGCCAGCCAGAUCCCCAGUGAGCGGGAGGACGGGCAGUAUGACCUGCGGGGCGCCCGCAGCUACCCCACGCUGGAGGAUGAAGGCCGGCCUGACCUCCUGCCUUGCACGCCACCCUCUUUUGAGGAGGCCACCACAGCCUCCAUCGCCACAACCCUGUCAUCCACCUCCCUCUCCAUCCCUGAGCGGUCCCCCUCAGAGUCAUCGGAGCAGCCUCGGUACAGGCGGCGCACGCAGUCCUCUGGACAGGAUGGCCGGCCCCAGCAGGAGCCGCACGUGGAGGAGGACCUGCAGCAGAUCACGGUGCAGGUGGAGCCUGCGUGUGGCGUGGAGAUGGCGCUCCCCAAGGAGGAGGACGCGGGGGUGGAGGCCUCCUUGGCCUGUGCAUCUGCCACCACCGUGGAGGUGGAGACCGCCAGCCAGGCCUCGGAACCCGCCAGCCAGGCCUCGGACGAGGAGGACACGCCUGCUGCGGACAUCUACUUCUUCACCGAUGGGAGGUACUGGAUUUACUCUCCCCGCCAUCGCCGACUGCGGGCCGUGAUGCCGAGCCCCUCGGGGACUGUAAGUGACCGCAGCUGGCCCCUGGGGAGAGGGGCCUCGCCCACUUUGGGGCAGCAGGGAGCUGCAGGUCCCCGACAGAAACACGUCCUUUCUUUCCUCGGAGGAUUUAGGAAAAGGGCAGGAGGUUGUGGCAGCCAGGCUUGCCCCCAGGGCGCCCUGCUGGGUGUGGGUCGUGGGAAUGUCACCUAGUCCCAGAUCAAGCGGGCACUGAAGAGAGUGCCUGUCUGCGGGUCUGUCCUGUGGGCCACAGGGGGUCCACUCCAACUCCGGCCUGCCUUGCCCCCCCCAGCCCUCUUGUCACGCGGUAGGUGGCCUCUUGUCACCACCCAGCCUCGCCGGUGAGGGCGGUUGGGGCCAGCAGGGCAGCUGCAGAACUGGCCCCUAACUGCAGCCCGUUGAAGUGUGCAUCUCACAGGGGCAGAGGCCAGCUCCCCAGAGGGCCCACCACAGCUCAAGGCUCAGGUCCUAGACUCAGUGCUCACUGGUCACUAGGCACUCGCCCCCCACGUCUGGGAUGCCACACAGAUGUUAGGUAGCCAGGGUGUCACUGUCCCCGAGAGGCUGAGUCGCCCACUCAGAGCUGCACGGCACUUGCUCGGCCAGCUCAGGCGUAGACCUGAGAGCUCGUUCUGCAGCUGGAGCCCCUCGGGGCUGCCCAGCCCUGUCAGCAAACCCCCUGGGUGUGGCUGUGCACUGGGCCCGUCCUCUGCCCGGCAGUCUUGGUGUCCAGCUGAGCCAGCAGUGGUGAGCAGGGACGCCACACCCCUGAGUAAGCUGCCGCCCGAGGCUUCGGCUGGGGGCUGGAUGCACCCAGCAGCCACGAGGGCCUCAGGGCCCUGGGUUUGGAGAGGUGGGAAAGGAAGGGGCUGGCAGGGGACAUGGUGGAAGCAACAGGUGGCGGCUAGAUGGUGGGGGGCACCCAGAGCUAGAGGAGCCGGAGGGACGGUCACCCGGGGUCCUGGCCACUUGGCCAGCUGGCAGCUGCAGGGCCCCUCUGUCCCACUUCUGGAGAAUGGGAAGCUGGCUGCGCUGCCUUUCUAAGGUGGCCACCGAGUGUCUACUGCCAGGGACCCCUCCCAGGAGCAGCGUGGCCUGCAGGGCUUGGGGCUGCUGCCAGCCUCCCUCCCAGGGUUGGCCCUUCUGGGCCUUAGGUGGAGACCCUCCUCCGAUCCCCGCUGCUGGACCCCAGCCGGUGCUGGUGGAGCUGGCGGCUCUGUCACCAGCCCAGUACCUGACACAGCUGUGGGGCCUGAGCUGGUUCCCAGGGCUGGAGGCGGCUCCAGAAGUCGGGGCCUUUGCAACUCCGUGGAGCCUGGAGGCCCCUACUGGGCCAGGCCACUGAGCAGGGGUCGCUGCCCACAGUUCCCAGCAGCCGGGGCAGUUCACAUGGCAACGGGAUCGGGCAGGAGUCGUAGUUGAGUGGGCAGAGGGGCCUUCUGGGUGGAGGGGGCCUCGCGGGGCCAGGUGGCGGGUGCAGGAGCCCUGGGGCAGAGCCAGAGCAGGUCAGGCCGGGUCAGCCAGCGCACUGGGCCACAUGCUGGCGCCGGCCCUUGCCGUUCACAGACAAGGAAGCAGCAGGCCCUGGACAAGAGGGUGGGCAGGUCCCGGCAGUGAUGGGCCUGGGGCAGCGUGUGGGCUGUGGCUGUGAGCUUAGGGGUCAGCCGGGGGACUGCCAGAGAGCACGGCCAGGUAGGCUCGUGUUUGGGGCUGGGAGCCGCCCAGAGGGUCCUGGAAGGCCAGGUGGCGAGGGAGGCCCUGGCGGGGAGGGAAGGAGAAGGCCCUAGAACAUUGGAGCCAGGCCCCUGGAGCUGGAGCCGACUCUGCAGGGACAGGGAUGGGCACCCUCCCUCCUCCAGACCCUUCCCCGACACAGCCAGGCCCGGGUGGCCCAGCAGAGGCCAGAGUGCAGCUCCGCCUGGCCCAGCCCUGGGCCUAGCUCACUGGGACCCAUGCCCCUGAAGGGCAUCCUUGUGCCCCAAGGAAAGUCCUGUGCCUGGGGCAGCCUGAGCUCGUGGGUGCCACCGAUGUUCAGGUGCUGACCGUCCUCUGCAUGGUCCAGAAACAGGUCGGCGCUCAGAGCGCCCAGGACCUUCCGUGAGGGUCCCCGGGACCCUGGUGCCUGUGGCAGGUGGGGGAGGCUGAGAGGAGCCCCUGCUAAGACAGAGGCCAGGCUGCACACGGCGCCCCCUCCUGUCCCCUGCUGUCUCGGCCACCUCAACUGAGCUCACCGCUUCCUGCUGUCUGCCCGUCUGCCACUCUCGCCCAGCUCCGCGGGUGGGGCAGAGCCCGGUGGAGAGGGCAUCGGGCCUGGCGCCCCGCACCCUGCCCGGGCGCUGCCUCUUUUACUCUGUCUUUCUUCCUCUCCUGCCUGCCUCGCCCUGCCCUCCUGCGCCCCUGCACGCGCACCCGCCACCCGCAGCCCACCGACGAGAGGAGCUGGGUGUACUCCCCGCUUCACUAUAGCGCGCAGGCCCAGCCCGCCCCCGAUGGCGGCGGCGGCAGCGGCAACAACACAUAAUCUCUAUGCAGCCCCCAACCUGGAGCCGAGCGCCCAGAGCGCCCACGCCGCGUGCUGCUCAGAGGCGUCGCCUCCCCCCCGAGGCCUGGGGCCCGGAGACCUGGCCCAACCUCAUCCUCCUUCGUCCUCCGGGGACACUGAUGGCCGAGCCCCUCCCCACCCCGACAGCUCUGGGCCACAUGGCGACCUGGGGCGUGGCGCCUGGUAACCAGCUGCGCCCACAGGACGACGACCCCCAGAGCGUCACCGUGUAUUUAUUUUGGUCCUCACUCCGCACAGGACGGAAGCACCUGCGUGCUUUUUUAGAAAAAACAAACAAACAAACAAACAGGAAGAGAUUCCAGCGUUGCUCUGCGGCCGCCUGCCGCUCCAGGGACCCGGCCCGGCUGCCCAGAGCCCACACUCCAUCUCAGCCCAGCGGCCUGCGGAGGAGACCCGUGGCUGAGGGGGCAAAGGCCACCCCGUCCUCACCUGGAAGCCGGAUCCCCCUCCCUCGGCCCAGGUGGGGGCCCUUGCGAGGCACGACAUCCCUCGGCAGUGGCCUUCACACCUGUUUCCUGCCACUAGGAGGGACGGCCCGAGAAUGGGCAUCCAGCAAGAAGGUCGCAGCCCAGACCUGGCACUGGGAGCCCCCACAGCUGCUCCCUCCUGGCGGAGCCCAGGGCCAGGGGCGGGUAGAGGGGGACUGGCUGUCCCUGCCCAGCUCACUGGUGCCAGUGGAGAGGACCCCCUGGGGACACACCCCUUCAAAGCAGUGUCCAGCUUUGGGAGGAGAGGCGGCCAGACCUCCGGUCACUGGGCACCACAGCUGGCAUCCCAGUGAGGGCCAGGCUGUGCUCAGGCCUGCGUGGCACAUCAGGGCACAUGUGCCCCAGGGGGGUGACCCUCUUCAGGGAUGGCCAUGCAUGUUUCCACUUGUCAUCUCCAGCAGGGACAACUGCUCCUAGGGGGACAGUGACCCCAGAGCCCCAUGGGGCAGUCACCUGGGCCCCGCUGUGUCUAGAGGGGGCAGGUUGGAGCCACCACUGCCUCCCACAGGACCCCUGGAGGGGCUUGUUGGUGGCAGGGCCUCAGUGGGCACAGGGGGAGGGGACCUGCAGCAGAAGCCGCUCUGGCCUUUGCAGGGCAGAACGGCACAGGGACCAGUCCACCCAGGAACGUGAAAGCCUGUCCAUCACCUCGCGCCUCCCUGGCCGCUGCUCAGGCCCUCCUGGUCUCCCCCUGCAGCAACGGCAGGGAUCCGGUCAUCUCACGACCCUCACCUGGUGGCUGAUGCAGGGGCUCAGAGACCCCAUCAGGAGGAGCCUAUCUGGGGUCCCCAGUACCCGCCCGUCUCUGCCCAAGAAGGGUUUGUUUAGACAGAGCGUCCUUGGCCCUGUGUGCUGUCCCUGACAGUCCCUGCCCAUCCUCGUGAAGGACACCCCGCAGACGCCUUGGGGAUCGGGGCAGAGAUCACAAGGGGCAUUUAGGAUCUGGAUGACUCGCAGGCACAGCUGCGUGGUCACUGCACCUGGGUCCCCAGGGGGCUGGCACCAGGAACAGGAGCCUGUGGAGGUGGCCUGGAGCCGUGGGCACCACCCCUCGUGCAGCCAGUGCCAUCCAGGGUGACUUGGCAAGACAGGGAGUGGCUGCUGCAGCCCCUUGGGCCUGGGUGAUCAGAGGCCACGUGUGCUGGUGCGGCCACAGCAGGAGAGACUCAGAAGACCCCACGGACGUCAUGGCAGUUCCAUUUUUGUGUUAAGUGUCACAAAGAACCCCUUGGAGAUCUAUGUUGUGUAGUGUUUUUUUUUUUUCCUUUUGUGGACUGUCGAGCAGAUGUUAAAGUGCCCCUCUGAGCUUGUCAAGAGCCAUGUUUGCUUAUGAUUUGGGGAGCUGGGGGGAGCAAAGGCCUGUUUCUGAUGGUGGGUACACUCCUGGCCUUCCUCAGACUCCCCGUGAGGAAGGCACCGGGCCCACCAGCCGCCUCCCCUCCCAGGAGAUCUGUAAAUACUGUCGUGAUCUGCUGCCUGGCUUGGCCCUCUGAUGGCUACUACUGCUCAGGCUGUGGCCGGUGUCCAGAUGCAGCUGUGAAUCAUAAAGAACUCAGAGGCCGACAAGGUGGAGACUCCCACAAGUCCUCUUCCAGCCUCUGUCCCUUCUAAGCCAUUCCAAUGCGUCCCUGUGCACCCCCACACCUGGCUCAGUGCAAUACUCCUGUCCCAAUGGGGUCCCAUGCCAUGGUACUCUCGCCGCAGCCCCUCCUCGGUCCCCACCCCAGGACAACAUCCCCCCUCUUUUUCUCUGGUGGUUGAAAACUGCGUCCCCUGACCCUGCCCCGUCUUGUUUUUAUGGCCAAGCCAAUUCCAAAACAACUGCAAACCUUGUGUGUCUUAACUGUCACCGGGGGUUCCUCGUCCUCAGCCCCUGUGGUCUGGUGUGUGACAAUCCAGAGCAUGGCUUCCCAUGGCACUGACAAGGAGGCCGUGUCCCUCCAACCCAGAGUGCGGGGUGCCUCUGACAGUGCAGCUGCUGCUGGCCCCAGAGAGCACUUGUACGCAGCUCGGGCCCCACCCCCACCACUCCCCCCUUUUUAUGUUGAGGAUGUUCUAAUAAAUCGGGUAUGAACAUCGA